rnacentral:rRNA from 1 species
UGGAUCCAGACUUUGAUCCUGGCUCAGGAUGAACGCUGGCGGCGUGCCUAAUACAUGCAAGUCGAACGAAACUUCUUUAUCACCGAGUGCUUGCACUCACCGAUAAAGAGUUGAGUGGCGAACGGGUGAGUAACACGUGGGCAACCUGCCCGAAAGAGGGGGAUAACACUUGGAAACAGGUGCUAAUACCGCAUAACCAUGAAUACCGCAUGGUAUUUAUGUGAAAGGUGGUUUCGGCUACCGCUUUCGGAUGGGCCCGCGGCGCAUUAGCUAGUUGGUGGGGUAAAGGCUUACCAAGGCAAUGAUGCGUAGCCGAACUGAGAGGUUGAUCGGCCACAUUGGGACUGAGACACGGCCCAAACUCCUACGGGAGGCAGCAGUAGGGAAUCUUCCACAAUGGGCGAAAGCCUGAUGGAGCAACGCCGCGUGGGUGAAGAAGGUCUUCGGAUCGUAAAACCCUGUUGUCAGAGAAGAAAGUGCAUGAGAGUAACUGUUCAUGUUUCGACGGUAUCUGACCAGAAAGCCACGGCUAACUACGUGCCAGCAGCCGCGGUAAUACGUAGGUGGCAAGCGUUAUCCGGAUUUAUUGGGCGUAAAGGGAACGCAGGCGGUCUUUUAAGUCUGAUGUGAAAGCCUUCGGCUUAACCGGAGUAGUGCAUUGGAAACUGGGAGACUUGAGUGCAGAAGAGGAGAGUGGAACUCCAUGUGUAGCGGUGAAAUGCGUAGAUAUAUGGAAGAACACCAGUGGCGAAAGCGGCUCUCUGGUCUGUAACUGACGCUGAGGUUCGAAAGCGUGGGUAGCAAACAGGAUUAGAUACCCUGGUAGUCCACGCCGUAAACGAUGAAUGCUAAGUGUUGGAGGGUUUCCGCCCUUCAGUGCUGCAGUUGACACAAUAAGCAUUCCGCCUGGGGAGUACGACCGCAAGGUUGCAACUCAAAGGAAUUGACGGA